AACGAACGCUGGCGGCAGGCUUAACACAUGCAAGUCGAGCGCCCCGCCAGGGGAGCGGCCGACGGGUGAGUAACGCGUGGGAACGUACCUUUUGGUUCGGAACAACUCCGGGAAACUGGAGCUAAUACCGGAUAAGCCCUAACGGGGAAAGAUUUAUCGCCGAAAGAUCGGCCCGCGUCUGAUUAGCUAGUUGGUGAGGUAACGGCUCACCAAGGCGACGAUCAGUAGCUGGUCUGAGAGGAUGAUCAGCCACACUGGGACUGAGAUACGGCCCAGACUCCUACGGGAGGCAGCAGUGGGGAAUAUUGGACAAUGGGCGCAAGCCUGAUCCAGCCAUGCCGCGUGAGUGAUGAAGGCCUUAGGGUUGUAAAGCUCUUUUGUCCGGGAAGAUAAUGACUGUACCGGAAGAAUAAGCCCCGGCUAACUUCGUG
rnacentral:rRNA from 1 species